rnacentral:lncRNA from 1 species
UCGCACUUGACCCACUUCGCACUGUGAGUUGACAGGGCAGGUAUUCUUCCCUCCUCUAUUAGCAUUGCUAGGGAGAAUACAAGACACUCAGUUAAAUUUGAAUUUCAGAUAAAUAAAUUUUUAGUAUAAGUGGGUCUUGAAUAUUGCAUGGGACAUAUACCAAAAAAUUAUUCAUUAUUGGCUGAGCGUGUGUGUGUCUUGAGUGGUAGGAGUUGUUCAUCUUGCGUGUUCUGGAUAAGAGGACUGCACAUGUCUUCUCAGUUUGGCUAGUUUUUCCCUUCUUUGAAAGGCAUCUUUUGAGAAGCAGAAGUUUUAAAUUUUUAUAAAGUCAACUAAGUUACCAUUUUUUGUUCAUAGUAUUUACUAGGUCCUAAGAAAUCUUUAUCACAAGACCACUAAGAUGCUUUCCCCUCGAAACUUUAUAGGGGCCAUUCUGGGUAUCACAUAAGGGCUCAGAGUAUUCAAUGAGGUCUCUCCACUCUGUAUACAGAACUCCAGUGUCUCCCAG